AGCGAACGCUGGCGGCAGGCCUAACACAUGCAAGUCGAACGAACCUUUCGGGGUUAGUGGCGGACGGGUGAGUAACACGUGGGAACGUGCCUUUAGGUUCGGAAUAACUAAGGGAAACUUGUGCUAAUACCGAAUGUGCCCUACGGGGGAAAGAUUAAUCGCCUUUAGAGCGGCCCGCGUCUGAUUAGCUAGUUGGUUGAGGUAAUGGCUCACCAAGGCGACGAUCAGUAGCUGGUCUGAGAGGAUGAUCAGCAACAUUGGGACUGAGACACGGCCCAAACUCCUACGGGAGGCAGCAGUGGGGAAUCUUGCGCAAUGGGCGAAAGCCUGACGCAGCCAUGCCGCGUGAAUGAUGAAGGUCUUAGGAUUGUAAAAUUCUUUCACCGGGGACGAUAAUGACGGUACCCGGAGAAGAAGCCCCGGCUAACUUCGUG
rnacentral:rRNA from 1 species